GCCACGGCGUAAAAGUUUUUAUAAAGUUAUCAGUUUCUCUAACACAUACUUGUUCGUCCUGAGAGAUGACAUUGGUUGUUUCCUUCUAAAAGAGGGACGAAAGAUACCAAAGGGACAGUCAAACUCAUAAAUCUAAAACAAACUGACAACGCCAUGGCUAAAAAUGAAAAAGACAAACAGAAAAACAAUAGUACACAUGACACAACAUAGAAAACUAAAGAAUAAACAACACGAGCCCCACCAAAAACUAGGGGUGAUCUCAGGUGCUCUGGAAGGGUAAGCAGAUCCUGCUCCACAUGUGGCACCCGUCGUGUUGCUUAUGUGAUUACAAAUCCGGUAAAUAGUCUAAUUUGGUAGGUCACAUUCAUGAAAGGGAAGG
rnacentral:lncRNA from 1 species